UGCUUUUCUUCAGCCAAGCCAGAGGACCAUGGACUCUGUUGGUGUAGCCCAGAGGCAUGAGUCUCCCAAGACAUGGUAAAGGCUCGAGGGUCAAUUUGGAGGAAAAAAUGGAAAACAGGAGGGACAGCAAUAGAAUCUGCUUAUACUAUAAAAUUGCAUGCAGAACAUUUUGUGUCUCAGGAUCUCUGUGUUUUGUUCCUGUGGCAACCAGCUGUGAGAUGAUAUACCUUCAGAACAGAGAGAUGGAGCGAAACUUCAUCCCAUGGGAAUGCAUCUCCUUUUUGCUCCACAGAGCCCCAUCCAUCAUUUUCGCAUUGCAGAGACCCAGCUGA
rnacentral:lncRNA from 13 species